rnacentral:rRNA from 1 species
UACGUAGGUGGCGAGCGUUGUUCGGAUUUAUUGGGCGUAAAGGGUCCGCAGGAGGUUUGUCAAGUUCGGAGUGAAAUCCCGGAGCUUAACUCCGGAACUGCUUUGGAGACUGAUGAACUGGAGUGUCGGAGAGGUAAGCGGAAUUCCAGGUGUAGCGGUGGAAUGCGUAGAUAUCUGGAAGAACACCGAAAGCGAAGGCAGCUUACUGGACGGCAACUGACUCUCAUGGACGAAAGCGUGGGGAGCAAAC